UCUUCAUAGGUAGUAUACAUGCAGGCCCCUUUGCAGUUCUCCUCAUGACUGUGACUCAAUGAGCCAGAGAGGACCCAACCAGUCUGAGCUGCGGGGGUCGUUGUGGAAACGGAGGCCACCUCGGAGCCCUCUCAUCCCCUAAGGAGGAGCAAGCAGAGGACACAGCCAAUUGCGGCGCCCGUCACAGUGUCAUGGUGCGCCGCCAUUGGGUGGGCACAUCAAAGGGUCCUCUGCUGUGUGGGUCUUCAUGGACAACCAGUACUGUAAAAUAAAAAACUGCUCAGGAAACCAUGAAAACUGAUGUUUACUGGAACGCACUGCUAGUGUUUAUAUGGGAAAGUCACAGUCAUCUGAUCACAGGUCGGGGAGUGGGACCUGCUGCCAAGCACAUGGAUCAUGACUUUAAAGAAAUAUCUAGUAGGAACGGA